GACGAACGCUGGCGGCGUGCCUAAUACAUGCAAGUCGAACGCAUUUUCUUUCACCGUAGCUUACUACACCGACAGAAAAUUAGUGACGAACGGGUGAGUAACACGUGGGUAACCUGCCCAUCAGCGGGGGAUAACACUUGUAACCAGGUGCUAAUACCGCAUAAUUCCUUUUACCGCAUGGUAUAUGGUUGAAAGGCGCUUUUGCGUCACUGAGCGAGUGACCCGCGGUGCAUUCGCUAGUUGGGGGGGUAACGGCCUACCAAGGCUGCGAUGCAUAGCCGACCAGGGAGGGUGAUCGGCCACACGGGGACGGAGACACGGCCCAGACUCCUACGGGAGGCAGCAGUAGGGAAUCUUUGGCAAUGGACACGAGUCUGACCGAGCAACGCCGCGUGAGUGAAGAAGGUUUUCGGAUCGUAAAACUCUGUUGUUAGAGAAGAACAAGGAUGAGAGUGGAAAGUUCAUCCCUUGACGGUAUCUAACCAGAAAGCCACGGCUAACUACGUG
rnacentral:rRNA from 1 species